rnacentral:lncRNA from 1 species
GGGAAGACAGUGGGAAGAACAAGGCUCUCUUCAGGGUGCAGGAGCCCAAAGUUUUGACUCAUGAAACCAGGAAUAGGGAUAAGUCUUGGGAAAGAGCUGUUGUGUUGAAGUUGACAAAUUAGUCUUCAGAAUGAAGUUGGGGACAAGUAUUUUGGUGUUGCCUCUUUGAGAGAGAAUUAUGCAGGCCAGGCUUCUUGGUAUUUGGCCAAGAGAUCCAAACAGCUGCUGGAUGACUUCUAAAGCUUGGACUCUUCAUGUCUUUCUUCUCUGCUAGCAAUUCAGUAAGUAAAGGCUGUAUCUGUCAAGGGAAGCCAACUCUUUGGAGCAACCAGGCUUUAUAGCAGCAGUCUUUAUGCAUUUAUGUAAGAGUUGAUGAGUUCUGCUUUUAUCCUCAAUAUCAGGCAGGCAGUAAACAUGGUGGAGAGAACAAAAGGUUUAGCUUAUCUGGGUUACAACAGGCUGUGUAACCUUAAUGGGGUCACUUACCUUCUCUAUGCCUCUGUUUCCUCCUCAGGGACAUACAGUUUUUGUGAGAAUCAGAGAUGAGGUAGAAUGAACUGAGAAUGAACGCAUUCCUCCCCCCAACACUGUGCAAACAUCUGAGAUGUCAGGAGAGUCAUCCUCAGCCCGUGUGCAUUGGGAACAGGUUGAGAGCAAAGCCACACUCACAAGAGGAGUAGCCGUUCCUUACAUAGGGCCAACACAGGGACAAAUGGAAUCUGAGCUACUAUGUUGGAAGAAUGCAAUGAAGACUGAAGGGCAGAAGGAAGCAUCGCAGUGCAUGGAUGAGAGCGAGAGAGAGAAUACAUCUGUUCAACAAACAGAGUGAAGGGUAAGGAUCACAGUGACGGUGGCCAUACCCUUCUGGGGUAUGGACUCAGGCAUAUUUGAGACUUUUUACUAUUAAUACUAAUCACAACCCUAGCCCACUCUAAUCUGUGCCAUGG